rnacentral:rRNA from 1 species
AUUGAACGCUGGCGGCAGGCCUAACACAUGCAAGUCGAGCGGAUGACAGGAGCUUGCUCCUGGAUGCAGCGGCGGACGGGUGAGUAAUGGCCAGGAAUCUGCCUGGUAGUGGGGGACAACGUUUCGAAAGGAAAGCUAAUACCGCAUACGUCCAACGGGAGAAAGCAGGGGACCUUCGGGCGUUGGGCUAUGAGAUGAGCCUAGGUCGGAUUAGCUAGUUGGUGAGGUAAUGGAUCACCAAGGCGACGAUCCGUAACUGGUCUGAGAGGAUGAUCGGUCACACUGGAACUGAGACACGGUCCAGUCUCCUACGGGAGGCAGCAGUGGGGAAUAUUGGACAAUGGGCGAAAGCCUGAUCCAGCCAUGCCGCGUGUGUGAAGAAGGUCUUCGGAUUGUAAAGCACUUUAAGUUGGGAGGAAGGGUUGUAGAUUAAUACUCUGCAAUUUUGACGUUACCGACAGAAUAAGCACCGGCUAACUCUGUGCCAGCCGCCGCCGUAAAAC